AAUCGGCUAGGAGCAGCGAGCGGCGCGGCUGAGGCGCGGCGGCCCCGUGGAGCAGCGCAGUAUGGCGGGCGGGGCCCGGGAGGUGCUCACACUGCAGUUGGGACAUUUUGCCGGUUUCGUGGGCGCGCACUGGUGGAACCAGCAGGAUGCUGCGCUGGGCCGAGCGACCGAUUCCAAGGAGCCCCCGGGAGAGCUGUGCCCCGACGUCCUGUAUCGUACGGGCCGGACGCUGCACGGCCAGGAGACCUACACGCCGCGACUCAUCCUCAUGGAUCUGAAGGGUAGUUUGAGCUCCCUAAAAGAGGAAGGUGGACUCUACAGGGACAAACAGUUGGAUGCUGCAAUAGCAUGGCAGGGGAAGCUCACCACACACAAAGAGGAACUCUAUCCCAAGAACCCUUAUCUCCAAGACUUUCUGAGUGCAGAGGUGAGGGCCUCUGUCCUGAACUUUUUAACCCGGUGCCACAACCUGAGGGUCUCCAUAGGGGCAGGGAGUGCUGAGUAGUGAUGGUGUCUGGAGGGUCAAAUCCAUUCCCAAUGGCAAAGGUUCCUCACCACUCCCCACCGCUACAACUCCAAAACCACUUAUCCCUACAGAGGCCAGCAUCAGGGUCUGGUCAGACUUCCUCAGAGUCCAUCUCCAUCCCCGGAGCAUCUGUAUGAUUCAGAAGUACAACCACGAUGGGGAAGCAGGUCGGCUGGAGGCUUUUGGCCAAGGGGAAAGUGUCCUAAAGGAACCCAAGUACCAGGAAGAGCUGGAGGACAGGCUGCAUUUCUACGUGGAGGAAUGUGACUACUUGCAGGGCUUCCAGAUCCUGUGUGACCUGCACGAUGGCUUCUCUGGGGUAGGCGCGAAGGCGGCAGAGCUGCUACAAGAUGAAUAUUCAGGGCGGGGAAUAAUAACUUGGGGCCUGCUACCUGGUCCCUACCAUCGUGGGGCCAUUCUGCCCUUCCACUGCAGUGCCAUCCUGGCUACAGCCCUGGACACAGUCACUGUUCCUUAUCGCCUGUGUUCCUCUCCAGUUUCCAUGGUUCAUCUGGCUGACAUGCUGAGCUUCUGUGGGAAAAAGUGGUGACAGCAGGAGCAAUCAUCCCUUUCCCCUUGGCUCCAGGCCAGUCCCUUCCUGAUUCCCUGAUGCAGUUUGGAGGAGCCACCCCAUGGACCCCACUGUCUGCAUGUGGGGAGCCUUCUGGAACACGUUGCUUUGCCCAGUCAGUGGUGCUGAGGGUAUAGACAGAGCAUGCCACACAAGCCAGCUCACCCCAGGGACACCUCCACCCUCUGCCCUUCAUGCAUGUACCACUGGGGAAGAAAUCUUGGCUCAGUAUUUACAACAGCAGCAGCCUGGAGUCAUGAGUUCUUCCCAUCUGCUGCUGACUCCCUGCAGGGUGGCUCCUCCUUACCCCCACCUCUUCUCAAGCUGCAGUCCACCGGGUAUGGUUCUGGAUGGUUCCCCCAAGGGAGCAGUGGAGAGCAUCCCAGUGUUUGGGGCACUGUGUUCCUCUUCGUCCCUGCACCAGACCCUGGAAGCCUUGGCCAGAGACCUCACCAAACUCGACUUGCGGCGCUGGGCCAGCUUCAUGGAUGCUGGAGUGGAGCACGAUGACGUAGCAGAGCUGCUGCAGGAGCUACAAAGCCUGGCCCAGUGCUACCAGGGUGGUGACAGCCUCGUGGACUAAAGUUCCCAGUGUGGGAGAAAGGAGCUAGUUUGCAAUAAAAACAGCUGGAUGCAGGAGCCCAGUGUCUUCAUGCAGAGGAGCUCAAUGUCGCGGGACUAGCUACACCAACAUAUGCACUUUUUACAUUUAGAAACACUGUGAUUAGACCACAGAACAAUAAAUAUGUGCCAUCAGACCAAAAAAAAGUAGAGAAAGGAGCUGAACUCCACUCUCGAUGCUAUUUACAGAGGACAUCUGUAAAGUCUUCAUAAAAGACCUUGAAUGAUGCCUAGGAUGGCAGAGCCCCUGGGUCCUACUCCAUCCUCCAGCCUUUGUCCUUGUCCUGGCCUCCUGCUCUCCAGAUCUGUAAACUGGGCUCAAGGACUGUACAAGCAGAGUACAACUACCCCCUCCCCGGUGCCAGGGCGCCUGUUGGGUUUGGUCCUGUGUAGAUGAUUCCCAGAGUCUCAUUCAUCCAGCUCCUCUUCAGACAGAAGGUCCCCAUGGUCAGACAGCUGGUCUGCAUUGCUGGUACUGGUUGCAUCAUCCUCAUCCUCAGAGCUGGCUUCACA